CUCCUAUUUAGAUUUUAAUCUCGGUAAGAACCUGUCAAGGAAGCAUGCAUAUAAUUUAGAUAAGGUCUGGACUGCUUUUAGGGACGACAUUGAGAGAUGGUGUAGUCUGGAAAUUUCUUGGUUGGGCAGAAUAAAUUUGGUCAAAAUGACUCUCCUUCCUAAAAUGUUAUACGUCUUACUAUACCUUCCUCUUUUUUUUUAAGAAGGUUAACUCUGCUCUUCUGACAUUUGUCUGGAAUAAAACAACGUGCAGAAUUCAAUUGGCUGUUCUACAAAAACUUAGGGUUAGUGGAGGUAUGGGUUUGCC